UGGGUGAGAAUACACCAAGACGGAUACCCUAGGUUUCCUGGGGAAGGUGCGUCCGCCCUGGGUUAGUCGGGGCCUAAGCUGAGGCCGAAAGGCGUAGGUGAUGGACAACAGGUUGAUAUUCCUGUACUACCGAUAACCGUUUGAGAGAUGGGAUGACACAGUAGGAUAAGCUAAGCACACUGUUGGUUAUGUGUGCACAAGCAUUGAGGCAGUCAAAGUAGGCAAAUCCGCUUUGAUAAUGCUGUGAUGUGAUGGGGAGCGAAAUUUAGUAGCGAAGUAGCUGCUUUCACACUGUCAAGAAAAGUCUCUAUCGCGGUUACAGGUACCCGUACCGCAAACCGACACUGGUGGGUGCGCAGAGUCACCUAAGGCAAGCGAGAGAACUGAUGUUAAGGAACUCGGCAACAUGACCCCGUCACGUAGGACAAAGGGGUGCCACCACG
rnacentral:rRNA from 1 species